GGGGGGGGGGGGGGGGGGGGGGGGGGGGGGGGGGGGGGGGGGGGGGGGGGGGGGGGGGGGGGGGGGGGGGGGGGGGGGGGGGGGGGGGGGGCCAGCCCCGUGCCGCCCCCCACCAGUGCUGCCUGUGGUAUUUAUUAGUGACCCUCGCCCCACAGCGCGCCCACCCCGCCACAGCCCGGCCUCAUCCCCCCCUGCCACCGGCACCGGGGUCCUUCCCUCUGUCACCCACGCCGUCCCAGCCGCCGUCGGAGGAUGGAGCUGCCGGGCAGGGGGUCGGAGGACGACGCUGUGUCCGUAGAUGACUCCCCAGGAGCCGCCACCAGCGGGAGCCACGGUGGGCACGGGACCCAGCCCUGUGCCAGGGGGGGGGGGGGGGGGGGGGGGGGGGGGGGACGGUGGGCACGGGACCCAGCCCUGUGCCAGCCCCUCCCUCUGUGCCUCCAUCACCCACUUCUCCGGUGGGGAAAGGCCUGGGUCUGCUCCCCGCUGGCUGCCCGUGGACAUCUCUGCUCCCUUCCGUGUCCUCAUCCCUGUGGCCCCAGGCUCUCACACAGAGCGUGUCCAGGCAAGGGAAGGGCACUGAGGGCAGCGUCCCCUCCCUGACACUUGGCUGUGGUAAUGGCCAGGGCCACCAGGGCUCCUGCGGGGUCAACCCAGCCUGUCCCCAGGCCUGCUCUGCUGCUCCUGGGCUCAGCUCCACAUGUUGGAGCCCCUCACUCUGGUGCUGGCAGUGACAGCCAUUCCUCUGUCUCGGCUGCUGGCCGGUGCCACUGGGCUGUGGCCAGCGCUCGUGUCCUCCUGGGGCAAUGCCAGCAAGGGAAGGGGAACCUGGGGGGACCCAGCCUUGUGGGGCAGGAAUGGGGUGGGGGUCCCGUGUUUCCUCGUGGCAGCAUCCUGUUCCCUUCCUGCCUCUGCCACCCAGCAGUACCAGCUUUGCAGAGCCACGUUCCGGGGUCCCAGGCUGCAGCGUUGGGUCCCCCAAGGGAGUGGGGCAGCCCAGUUUGUCCCAGUACUGGCACUGGGAGCUGCCAGGGGUCUGGUGUCCCACAGAGGGCAGCCUCCCUGCUGCCCCACCUUGCCCCCCAGCCCUUCAGUGGGGAUUUCACCACCAGCACCAGCGUUUUCUCCCCACUGAGACCAGCUGGGGCAGGCGGGGGGGUUCCCCUGGUUUUUGGUCUCCAGUGCCCACAUCAGCUGCCCCUGAGCUGCAGCACCCAGGCUGGCAGUGCUCAGAUACUCAUCCAGGAGCUUUGGGCAGGGUGCAGCCACUAGCGAGGGAUCGAUUUUUGAGUGUGAGAGGGUUUCAUCUGCCGUGAGGCUGGGCAAGUCCCCAGGGAUCCCCCAGAGCAUGUGUGGAGCAGCAUCCACGCUGCCCAGCCCACCACAACACCCGUGGUCGAGCAGCCAGGGAUGGGGCUCAGCUCUCCCCAAAGGUUGAGCCUUCCUUCCCCCACAUUCCCCUUGUGUGAGCAGUGACACCCUCCUGUCCCCAUGACACCCCAGUUGUCCCCCAGUUACCACCCAGGCUGCAGUUUUCCCCCCAGUAGAGUCAUUGCAGGGCUGAGGGGGGAGGGCUUAUGGUGCCAGCCCUGCCCUGAGCCCCAGCCAGCGCCCACAGCAUCUGGGAGGGGCAGGGCUGGGGAAGGGGGGCUUUGGGAGGGCACUGCUAGGGAAAGGGGGGGGCCUCUCCCACCCCAUCCACUGCUGGGCAUCGCUGGAGCCUCAUUGCUGCAGAGCAGGGCAUGGGCUGGGUGCCACGGGGCAUCUGCCCCCAUAGUCCUGGGGGGAAUGUCACCUAUUGCCAGCCCACAUCAGGGGCCAACACCACCCACCCCAUCCCACCCUGGGCCCUGCAAUCCCCCAGCCCCAAGCUGGGGCUCCCUCCUGCCCUCGGCACCCCCUGCCCCUCGGUUGGCUUUGACCCUGAGCCCAACCCGGCCCCUGGGGCGGUGGGGAGCAGGAGCAGACCCCCGGGCUGGGGCUGGGGUGUGAGAGGAGUGGGGGGGGGGGGGGGGGGGGGGGGGCUGGGGCUGGGGUGUGAGAGGAGUGGGGGGUGGGCCCGGCAUCGUCCCCACCCCGCCCCACAGCCCCUCUGUCCCCUGCCCGGCUCUGCUGAAGUGCACUUCCCGUGCCCCUGAGCUUUUCACUUGUGCCGAAGCCGUUUGAAUUCCUUUCCCUUCCCCUCCCCUUCCCAUCCCUCCCCACCCCGUUGUUUGUAAAACACCCAAACUGAGCAAAUAAACUGUGUGAACAACCAGCCUGGAGCCACCGGUGGGUGGGAGGAGGCUGGGCUGGGGAUCCUGGGAGGAUGGGGAUGGAAGGUUUGGGAUGGGGAUGGAAGGUUUGGGAUGGGGAUGGAAGGUUUGGGAUGGGGAUGGAAGGUUUGGGAUGGGGAUGGAAGGUUUGGGAUGGGGAUGGAAGGUUUG
ensembl:lncRNA